UUCAUAGUUGUGUUUUUAUAUGGCCAAGA
rnacentral:piRNA from 1 species